AUUUAUGGUGAUGGCAUUACGGUGGAUCCUUCAAAAGUUGAUGCUGUGUUGAGAUGGGAAACGCCUAAGUUGAUUACUGAGAUUAGAAGUUUCUUAGGCUUGGUGGGUUACUAUAGAAGGUUUAUCGAAGGAUUUUCUAAGUUGGAACUUCCCUUGACAAAGUUGACUUGUAAAGGAGCUGCGUUUGUGUGGGAUGUCAAGUGUGAGGAAAGUUUUAUGGAAUUGAAGAAAAGGUUGACAACGGAUCCGAUCUUGAUUUUACCUUAUCUUGAGGAACCGUUUGUGGUUUAUUGCGAUGCUUCCAAGAUGGGUCUAGGUGGUGUGCUUAUGCAAAGUGGAAAAGUGGUUGCUUAUGCUUCUAGG